rnacentral:rRNA from 1 species
UAGACCUCAAAUCAGUCAGGACUACCCGCUGAACUUAAGCAUAUCAAUAAGCGGAGGAAAAGAAACUAACAAGGAUUCCCCUAGUAACGGCGAGUGAAGUGGGAAAAGCUCAACUUUAAAAUCUGGCUGCUUUGCAGUCCGAGUUGUAGUUUCGAGAAAUGUUUUCCGCGUUGAUCCAUGUAUGAGUCUGUUGGAACACAGCGUCAUAGAGGGUGAGAACCCCGUUCAUGGCAUGGCUUUUAAUGCUUUGUGAUACAUUUUCGACGAGUCGAGUUGUUUGGGAAUGCAGCUCAAAUUGGGUGGUAAAUUCCAUCUAAAGCUAAAUAUUGGUGAGAGACCGAUAGCAAACAAGUACCGUGAGGGAAAGAUGAAAAGCACUUUGGAAAGAGAGUUAAAAGUACGUGAAAUUGUCGAAAGGGAAACGAUUGAAGUCAGACGUGCAUGGUAUUCAUUACCUUUGCAGGCCAACAUCGGUUUUGCUAGUCGGAUAAAGGUAGAGGGAAGGUAGCAGUCUCGGCUGUGUUAUAGCCCUUUACUGAAUACGGAAGGUGAGACCGAGGGACGCAGUGCGCCGCAAGGCAAAGGGUUCGCCCUUUACGCACUUAGGAUGUUGGUGAAAUGGCUUUAAACGACCCGUCUUGAAACACG